AACGAACGCUGGCGGCGUGGAUAAGACAUGCAAGUCGAACGGGACAUUAUUUGUAGCAAUACAAAUGAUGUUCAGUGGCGCAAGGGUGUGUAACACGUGGGCAAUCUACCGGAAAGUGGGGAAUAGCUCGCCGAAAGGCGAAUUAAUACCGCAUAUGGCCAGGGAAGACCUCUUCCCGCAGCCAAAGCUGGGGCAACCUAGCGCUUACCGAUGAGCCCGCGGCCUANCAGCUAGUUGGCGGGGUAACGGCCCACCAAGGCGAUGACGGGUAGCUGGUCUGAGAGGACGACCAGUCACACUGGAACUGAGACACGGUCCAGACACCUACGGGUGGCAGCAGUCGAGAAUUUUUCUCAAUGGGGGAAACCCUGAAGGAGCGACGCCGCGUGGAGGAUGAAGGUCUUCGGGUUGUAAACUCCUGUCAUUUGAGAACAGUGCACCGGUUAACUGCCGGUGCAUUGAUAGUAU
rnacentral:rRNA from 1 species